AGGUCUACCAAUGGCCAUUUAUUACAGUAUGCAUGAACACUGCCAGUAUGUUAAUUGAGUUAUUCUGUAGUUUCUAACUGACUUUGAAGGGUGUUGGACCUGCUACCAUCUUAAUCGGCCUCUCCUCAAUGCCACUCAGGACUUCUGUGGCACCCCACACUCCUGGGUACUUAGUCCAUGUGCUUGCACUUAUACCAUCAUCAGCCUUGGUUCAAUCUGCUCAACCAGGUUCAAAGGCAAUCCAUCUGCCACACUUACCCUGGCUUCAAGAGUCAACCCAAGACCAGGGUCCAAAUCCAAGGCUCAUCGGCAGCCAUACACUGAGGCUGAUGGACUAUAGCAUUUGAAGUGCUUCUCUAAGUGUUCUGUCUGCACUUCCACCUAUGAUCUCUUGAACUGCUUUUAUGGCCAUCUUCUCCAGGUAUCCCUACCCUUUCUGACAGUCCUCAGCCACUUGAGGAACAUAUUCCUCUCAAAUCACUAAAAUAUAAAGUACAUCUAUUUUUUUGAAUGUAUGUGGGUAUGAUGGUAUUUCCUUUUUUAUUAUGGUUUUAUAAAAUUAGGAAUCAAUAAUUUUGAGCUAAUAGUAGGUAUGUCAUUAACCAAGGAUAUAACAUUCAAUUCUACAUUUCCUGUUAGUGUGGCCAAUAAGAAUGAUUCUCAUAACAAGGAGCAAAACAUUGGUUUAUUUUUCCAAGUGGUAGAGUUUGAACUGGUAAACCACAAAUUGAAACCUUCAGACUAGUGGGGGUCAAUGAUAGGGUAAAAUUUCAUGAAGGGGUAAGACAUAAAUUGUAAUCAAGAGAGUGCUUUAAUCAAGAACCUAUAAUUCUUAAUCAAACAAAAGUUUUCUUUCUACAUGAGAGUAAGUCUAUCCUUUAUUUUUUUAAAUUAAGAGAGCAGAAGACAAAAUGAGGCCAUAUAUAAAAUGUUUAGUGUUCCAAAUCUUAUAUGUGCCUAAGCCCCUAAAACAGAUGAUGAUGGUAAAAAAUAAGUUAUAGGGAUGGUGAUUGUACCAUGUAAUCAACCUUACAAUGCUUUGGCUAAAGUAACUGACCAUACUUCAGUCUGACUGGAUUUCUACAGUGUAAUUACUUUAAA